CCGAACCGACUAAUGUUGAAAAAUUAGCGGAUGACCUGUGGCUGGGGGUGAAAGGCCAAUCAAACCGGGAGAUAGCUGGUUCUCCCCGAAAGCUAUUUAGGUAGCGCCUCGUGAAUUCAUCUCCGGGGGUAGAGCACUGUUUCGGCUAGGGGGCCAUCCCGGCUUACCAACCCGAUGCAAACUGCGAAUACCGGAGAAUGUUAUCACGGGAGACACACGGCGGGUGCUAACGUCCGUCGUGAAGAGGGAAACAACCCAGACCGCCAGCUAAGGUCCCAAAGUCAUGGUUAAGUGGGAAACGAUGUGGGAAGGCCCAGACAGCCAGGAUGUUGGCUUAGAAGCAGCCAUCAUUUAAAGAAAGCGUAAUAGCUCACUGGUCGAGUCGGCCUGCGCGGAAGAUGUAACGGGGCUAAACCAUGCACCGAAGCU
rnacentral:rRNA from 2 species